UGGGGAAUUUUGGACAAUGGGGGAAACCCUGAUCCAGCCAUCCCGCGUGUGCGAUGAAGGCCUUCGGGUUGUAAAGCACUUUUGGCAGGAAAGAAACGUCAUGGGUUAAUACCCCGUGAAACUGACGGUACCUGCAGAAUAAGCACCGGCUAACUACGUGCCAGCAGCCGCGGUAAUACGUAGGGUGCAAGCGUUAAUCGGAAUUACUGGGCGUAAAGCGUGCGCAGGCGGUUCGGAAAGAAAGAUGUGAAAUCCCAGAGCUCAACUUUGGAACUGCAUUUUUAACUACCGGGCUAGAGUGUGUCAGAGGGAGGUGGAAUCCCGCGUGUAGCAGUGAAAUGCGUAGAUAUGCGGAGGAACACCGAUGGCGAAGGCAGCCUCCUGGGAUAACACUGACGCCCAUGCACGAAAGCGUGGGGAGCAAACAGG
rnacentral:rRNA from 1 species